rnacentral:rRNA from 1 species
AACGAACGCUGGCGGCAGGCCUAACACAUGCAAGUCGAACGGGAUCUUCGGAUCUAGUGGCGGACGGGUGAGUAACGCGUGGGAACGUGCCCUUUGCUUCGGAAUAGCCCCGGGAAACUGGGAGUAAUACCGGAUACGCCCUUUGGGGGAAAGAUUUAUCGGCAAAGGAUCGGCCCGCGUUGGAUUAGGUAGUUGGUGGGGUAAUGGCCUACCAAGCCGACGAUCCAUAGCUGGUUUGAGAGGAUGAUCAGCCACACUGGGACUGAGACACGGCCCAGACUCCUACGGGAGGCAGCAGUGGGGAAUCUUAGACAAUGGGGGAAACCCUGAUCUAGCCAUGCCGCGUGAGCGAUGAAGGCCUUAGGGUUGUAAAGCUCUUUCAGUGGGGAAGAUAAUGACGGUACCCACAGAAGAAGCCCCGGCUAACUCCGUGCCAGCCGCCGCGGUAAAAC